rnacentral:lncRNA from 1 species
AAAAACACUCCUUCAGCCCCAAAGUACGGUCAUUCCAAGCGUGAGCUGAUGCGGAAGGGUCAGAGCAGGGAGAGGAUGCUCCCGAAACAGCCCCGUGGAGCCCCUGCCGGAGGAGCCCAAAAGCCCUCCAAGGGCGGCUGCGCUGCGGCUUGGGGCGGCCGGACUUUCUCCUUGGAAAGGGUUUUGGGGGAAAGGAGCUUUCCCGAGAGGAAGGAGGGGGCCCGCCCUGCUCACUUGUUCACGCAGUGGGCGGCGGUCAUCACCCAGUUCGUGCGGAUGAGGGAGCCCCCGCAGGUGUGGUGCCAGCUGCCCCCGGAGUAAUACUGGAGGGAGAUCUGGGGAGGGGGCGAGACACGGGCAGGGGGGGCUCAGCGCAGGGUGCCGGGGCGAGGAGAGCCCCGGGAUCGCCCUUGGGACCCCGGCAGGACUCACCUGGUAGGGCCAGGCGUGCGAGCGCGCCUCGGUCCCACCGACCACCCGCUGCAUCCCAUCGAGAUCGAGCUCGGAGCAGCGCCCUGGGGACAGAGGGACGGCGUGAGUCCCCAGCGGAGGGGUCAGGGAGGGUGUCAGGAGGUGCCGAGGCCGAAGGCUCCGGGCGGGACUCACCGCAGAGGGCGAGGGCGGCGAGGAGCACGAGCUGCAGCAUCAUCCUGGAGCGCGGUGUCCACGGCGGGACCGAGGCGCUGCCCCGCGGGCGCUUUAACGGGGCCGCGGGAGGAGGCGCGGGAAGGGAAGCAGGUGCCGCGGCCCCAGCGAGCGGCCUUGGCCCCUCUGCCAAAGCACACACGGCGCCGAGGCCGAGGCACCCCACGGACACCCCGAGCGGCCCUCGGCUCCGGCUCCCGCGCAGACGCCGCCCCGCGCCGGCACCUUCCUGCUCCCGUGUCCCGGAGCCGUGUCCCGAGGUUGUCCCGGUCUGGGCCCCGGGGGGCCUCGGCUGCGGCUCUCCGUGGCCUUGAUUUGUGGGACGGUCCCAGAGUCUGAUCCAGCACCCGAAUGGAGCCGCAGCGUUGCUGGCCUGGGGAAAUCGAGGCACAAACGGGGCACGACCUCCAGUCCCUCGCCAACCCCGCGGCACAGCCAGCGCUGGAGCAGGGCCGGGGCUCGGCCUCCCCGGGGCCUGACUUUGGGGCUAAAUGAAGCAGCGCUACGGUUUGAAAUAAAGCCCGG